rnacentral:rRNA from 1 species
GUUAAAAAGCUCGUAGUUGGAUUUCGGAAUGGGCCAGUUGGUCCGCCUCACGGUGUGUUACUGGCUGGUCUGUUCUUCUUCGCAAAGACUGCGUGUGCUCUUUACCGAGUGUGCGUAGGAUUUACGACGUUUACUUUGAAAAAAUUAGAGUGUUCAAAGCAGGCCUACCGCUUGAAUACAUGAGCAUGGAAUAAUGGAAUAGGACUUUGGUCUUAUUUUGUUGGUUUCUAAGACCGAAGUAAUGAUUAAGAGGGACAGUUGGGGGCAUUCGUAUUUCGUUGUCAGAGGUGAAAUUCUUGGAUUUACGAAAGACGAACAACUGCGAAAGCAUUUGCCAAGAAUGUUUUCAUUAAUCAAGAACGAAAGUUAGAGGAUCGAAGACGAUCAGAUACCGUCCUAGUUCUAACCAUAAACGAUGUCAACUAGGGAUCAGUGGGCGUUACAUACGACCUCAUUGGCACCUUAAGGGAAACCAAAGUUUUUGGAUUCCGGGGGAAGUAUGGUUGCAAAGCUGAAACUUAAAGGAAUUGACGGAAGGGCACCACCA